AAAGGAAUUGACGGGGACCCGCACAAGCAGCGGAGCAUGUGGUUUAAUUCGAAGCAACGCGAAAAACCUUACCAAGACUUGACAUCGCAUGAAAGCCAUAGAGAUAUGGCCCUCCCUUCGGGGACAUGUAGACAGGUGGUGCAUGGUUGUCGUCAGCUCGUGUCGUGAGAUGUUGGGUUAAGUCCCGCAACGAGCGCAACCCUUAUCAAUAGUUGCCAAUAUUAAGUUAGGAACUCUAUUGAGACUGCCGUGGAUAACACGGAGGAAGGUGAGGAUGACGUCAAAUCAUCAUGCCCCUUACGUCUUGGGCUACACACGUGCUACAAUGGCUAUUACAAAGAGCCGCAAGCUGGUAACAGUAAGCAAAUCUCAUAAAGAUAGUCUCAGUUCGGAUUGUGGGCUGCAACUCGCCCACAUGAAGUCGGAGUUGCUAGUAAUCCCGAAUCAGAACGUCGGGGUGAAUGCGUUCCCGGGUCUUGUACACACCGCCCGU
rnacentral:rRNA from 1 species